rnacentral:rRNA from 1 species
GCACAGAGGAGCUUGCUCCUUGGGUGACGAGUGGCGGACGGGUGAGUAAUGUCUGGGGAUCUGCCCGAUAGAGGGGGAUAACCACUGGAAACGGUGGCUAAUACCGCAUAACGUCGCAAGACCAAAGAGGGGGACCUUCGGGCCUCUCACUAUCGGAUGAACCCAGAUGGGAUUAGCUAGUAGGCGGGGUAAUGGCCCACCUAGGCGACGAUCCCUAGCUGGUCUGAGAGGAUGACCAGCCACACUGGAACUGAGACACGGUCCAGACUCCUACGGGAGGCAGCAGUGGGGAAUAUUGCACAAUGGGCGCAAGCCUGAUGCAGCCAUGCCGCGUGUAUGAAGAAGGCCUUCGGGUUGUAAAGUACUUUCAGCGGGGAGGAAGGCGAUGCGGUUAA